ensembl:lncRNA
UGUGGUUGGUGUUUUAAGUCUAUUUUUAUUUUACAUGGCAUUCAAGUUUAGUUCCAAGUUCAACGGAGGUCUUACCCUGCUUCCUCCUACACAGAUACUCCUGCAGGUAAAUAAGGGAACGAAACUACUUCAGACUCUCCACUGAAUUCUAGUCCCUCGGGACAUCUUUUUUAAACUCUUAGUCUGCAAGAACCUUCUGACCCAUUGGGACUUUUCUUGUCCUGUCUUCAGAAAUGGAUUUGUCCCUUUCUGGUGCAGAGCAGCGUUUAUGUGUGUCACUUGAGCAAGGUGGGGAGGGGGGCGUCUGGGGGGAUGCAGAGGAAUGCACCGUGAGUCGGGGGGGGGGCGUGAGGGCCCCGCGUGUUGGGAGGGCGCUGGGCACCCUGCGUGGUCCGGGUGCGGUGGGGACCGGCGGCGCGGCCCUGGGGCCGGGCGCGGCGGAGCGGGCGGCGGGUCGCGCCCUCGGGGAGCGCUCACCCCGCGAGCCUGCGCCGCCUCCGCUCGCGGUUUCUGGUCGGAUCCCAGCUGGCCCAGACUUGCUCUGAAGUAGGAGGAACCGCUGUCGAGCGAAGAGUGCACACCGGAUAUCGUUCUUCCAUAAAAAUAAUCCAGACUAGCUAUAGGAACCACUCAAGAUAUUUUGCCACAAGAUCUAGGACAAGAGGACUCACGGAGUAUCUCCCACCUUGUGGGUCUCUUGGGGUCCCUUCACCUGCUUCUGCUCCUGAAGAUGGUUGGACAUCCAUCCACCUUGCCUCUUCUGGCUGGACCUGGCCUGAAACUGAGUCUUUUGGAUUGUCUUUCUACUUUUCCAACUUGCCAAAUUUCUGAAAGAAGGACCAAAGUAAAGCCAAGAACUCCCAGAUGAAGAGGACCUUCCUGGAUUUGUAACAGGGAUUAACCAAUUCUUGAUUUCAGGAGGAAGUUUCAGCUAAUUCUCAGGAUAAAGUCAAAACAGGCCUGUCCCUUGGAUACUAAAGGUGUAAACAAGCUUCUGGCCCCCCCAGGUCAAGCAGAGACACGCUUUUUAUUGGAAGGUCCCUGGAUGAGGCUGAGAUCUGAAAGCCAGGAGGCAGAAUGUGAACUUUAAUGGCCCUUUCUUACCGCCUUUCUGGGGCCAGGACUACUCUUCAGGGCUUUCCUCUGCAACUUCCCCAUCCUCCUGGCUAGCUCAGUUGAGUCUUCUCACUCCACUCCAGGCUGGGUCCUGAGCCUCUCCUGGUAGCCAGAGCAAGCUCUCCCUCUCCCUAAAUCUCUUUCCCCACCCCAACCUCCCAUUUUGCAGCGGGCCAUUCCCACUGCCUCACCCCUACCCUGCAUUAAUUCACAUUUGACUGCCUGGACAGAACAACCACGGGCUCCCAAACGACUGCCACCCCCCAGCCAUGGGCCUGGGCUUGCAGCCCUGAUCCCUUUCUUCAGGCCUCAGGAGGAUCCCCCACAACCUCCCUGGUCCCCACCUUCCCCAAAGCGGUCUCUAUGGGAAGAAAAUAGAACAGGCCGAGGCCUGAGCCAAAGAGCCAUUUCCUCCGCUUAGGCAAGCGAGGGGAGCCUCCCAGAGACCACGGCCCGAGCGCAGCCUGGCCCUCUCCCACGGCCCGGCGCCGGCCCCGCGCUGCCUUUGUGUGGCCUUCCCCGCCGCGGAGCCCUUGGGGGCGCCGCGCGCACAAUGGCGCGGCCGCUCCCGGAAGACCCGGCUGCUCCGGGCGGCCAGGGCCAGCAGCCUCGAGGCUUCGGGGCGCACCCCGCGGCCCCCAGCGCGCCGGGCCCGGGGAACGUCCCAGGCUAGGGCAGAGGCUUCCUCCCCCUGCCGCCUGGUCCCUGUCCGCCGCAGGUCCUCCUCGGGAGAGGGAGAAGCCUGGCCCAGGGCGCCAUUGCCGGGCCGGGCUCCCCUCCCCCACCCUCGUCUGUCUCUGCUGCUCCGAGGCCUGCGAGGGAGGAGGCGGGCGCCUCCGCCGAUAGAGCCGCUAUUGUGACCUUCCCUCGCAGAGCGGGAACCCAGCCGAGUGUGGACCGCCGGCGGUGGCGGGGGAGGCGGCGAAUGUGUGUGCAGACCUCGGGGUGCGGAGAGAGUGGCGCUGGGAAAUAAACAAGGUUUGCAACCGCGGGCAGUUGGGCCCUUCAGAGGGCGUUUGGUUGUGUUUAGACUCGGGUGCUUCCUAACACUAAUUGCAGGCUCAAAAGGAGCAGAAUUUAUGGCGAAGGCCGAGGCGGCUU